GACAGGUGGAAUUGGACUAAUUACCAUACAGGGUUACACAAGGAAAAAAGGCCUGAGGUCUCUCUAAGAGAAUUACAUAUCUGUGAUGGCCCCCUCCCUCUUCUGCAAUUAUUUCCAAGUCACACCUGCCAAGCUGUAGGGAAGCAUUCCCAUUGUUUGUGGGUGAGAACACAGUCAGUCAGCUAUGCAUCGCACUCUUAAAACCCCAGAAGGACUGUGGCACACGGAUGUAAGCUGAACAGAUCUCUCUAGGAAAAGAACUGGUGGAAGAAACACAGAAAUGUGCAUGGAGGAGUACCAUUCUGUCCCCACUCCCUGACAAAGACAUUAGUCAUGGGACAGAGACAGGUUGGAAAGCCCAUCUGGACCAUCUAUGAAUGUAAAGGAUUUGGUACCCAGAAGACAUGGGGUCCACAUCGGUGUCUUAGAGCAGAGAGCUAUAAGACUAGCCUGCAUGGCCUUCCUACCUGUUCUUCACAAUCCCACAGAGCAUAUCCUGAUGGCCAACACCUCUGUGAUGCACUAUAUAAACAAGCAGGAAGGUGCACAAUCAUCUCCCUUCUGCCUGGAAGCCACCAAGCAUUGGACAUACCACCAACAUGGGAUAAUCCCAAUAGCUCUUCACCUCCCAUUUGUCAGCAACAAGUUAGCACGCUUCCUGAGCAGAUAGUCAGGCCACCACCUGAUCCCCUUUACAUCAGUUCCUCUGAUCCCCAGAAUGAUUUACAAGUUGCAAGGGGACACAUUCACCAUCGUUCUCAUAACUCCAUACAGACUGAGGCAGUUUUGGCCGAUAGACCUACUAAAAAUAUCCAUCUACCUUCUGAGCUAGCUCCAAGACUAUCCUGACCUGAUCUCCCAGCUCUAUAGUCAGACACUCCAUCCAGGCCUGAAAUCCCUGCACCUGAUGGCAUGACUGUUGGCUAAUUAAGUACCACAGAUAGACACUGCUCCUGGCAGAUCCAGGAAAUCCUGACACAGAUGUUUUCCUACUCUACCAGAAGAACACAAUCCUAUACAUGGAAGAAGUUCUUGAUUAUGGGCAAUCCAACAUGGUCUAGAUCUGUUCCAGGCCUUGAUACCAAACAUAUUUGACUACUUAUUGCACUUAAACCCUAGCUAUUUGUGGGUGAGGAUAGGGGGUGUUAAUGUUUACAAAGAUCAAAGUAUGUGUCCUGUAUUUUUAUUAUUAUUAAAUAUUUUUAUUUAAAAAGUCAAUGUUUUAUUUUGGCUUGGUUUGACAUUGAACCCCAUCCACCUGAGCUACUGUGGUGUCUCAUGGGAGUUGUAGUUUUGCUGCCUUUAUGGGCUGAACUCUCUGGUCAGACUACAUCUCCAAUGAUGCACCAUGAUUAUGGGAUUCCCAUGUUGAAUUAUUGCAGUGCAUCCGGAGGGGUGGGGAACUGCAGUGAAUUAUGGGAGAUGUAGUCCAAAUUAGGAGCCCUACCCAUAGAUGAGAAUGGGGACAGGAAGCACCCGAAGUACAACUCCUGUGAAGCACCAUAGGUACUCAGGCAGUCCAGAUUAAUUCAAACUGAUUUAAAGCUAAAUAUUUGGAGUCAGUUUGACAAGCCAAAAUGUUUUGACUCAAGUUGAUCCUACUUGAAGCAAAAUAUUAUCCCAAAGGAAAAAUGAAAAAUUUGGUCAAAAUAAAAAAAAACAUUCUUGGAAAAUGUGAUUUUUUGGAAACUGCAUUUUCAAUUGAAAACAUAUUUUGAUAGAAAACUUUGACCAGCUCUAAUUAGCUGUUUAUUCUGUGAGCUGUUUGGUAAGCCAGGAAGAUCUUUCAAUAAAUGAUGAUGAUGAUGAUGAUAAUUUAAAAAAUCCUACCUUGGAACUAAAUGCUGAAUUUCGUUCCAAGGGUAAUAAACAAUAGACAACCACUAUUUGAACAGAGAUUGCUAAAAACCAUGGAAUCUUAGCCAGUGUAUUUGUCAGCCUGAAGGGAUUCACUGAAGUAAACAUCUGAAACAGUCACUGGGUGUAAGAAACAUCCCACUGAUGGAGGUUCCUGAAAAUAAAGUAAAGUUUUUUGCAUGGGGAGGUUUAUAGAAUGCACACUGAAGGUGUAAACAUGAAUACUUUCAAACUCUCUAUUAUGUUUCCAGUAUGUCUUGGUUUCUCCUCCCACACUUUUGUCUGUCACCUCUUUAGACUUGAAGCUCUUAGGGACUAUCUCUUACUAUAUGUUUAUACUGUUCCUAGCACAAUGGGGCUAUGAUUUUGGUUAAGGCCUCUAGGCGCUGCUGUGAUACAAAUACUAAUGUACUAAUAAUGUUUCAGAGUGUUAAGAAUGACGAAGAUAAUACUUCGUGCUAAGUGCUUUACAAAAAUUAUUCAACUGAGCCUAACAAAACCUCUGUGACAAAUAGCAAUCCUUUCACCUGCGACAGAAACGCUGUCAUGUUUGGGUAAGCCUCUGGCUGCAGUUCAACAGCAUGCAAAAACAUUACUCAAAACAGGAAACAAAUGAUACCAUGUGCAGUCACACCUACUGAAAGUGAAAUGUAGGUGGGCUCUAUCGUCAGGCACCAGGGAGACAGCCAAAAUCUGUACAAAAAUAUCUUGGAAUCCAUCUCUGAUCACAAAUGCUGAGGACCUCUGUUUGGUCUCAGAGACAUGGCACCUCCUGUAGCACAAUGCCCACUAACACCAUGCUGGGCCAUUGGUUCAACCUUCACUCAGAAGGAAAAGUGUCACCUACAGCCUCUCAGUGUUCAUCUAUCAGUCUAAUCAUUGACUGGCUAAACCCUUCUUGGCUUGUAUGACCUAACAAAAUCACAGAACAGGGUACAGUAUGUUCUGCUUAGUAGCAGCCCCUUGGUUGCCAGAAAAAAAGUUGCCAUUAUCUGGCAGUUGCUAAUAAGAGGAAGGAACAUUUUCAGGGCUAAAGCCAGGGAAGAAAGUGCUGGGACAUGCUUUCCCUGGCUGUAGCCUUGCAAGCCUGUCUGUGGACAGAGCAGCAGCAGGGAUGGGGCUUUUUACAGGGACCACAGGUGCUGGAGGCCCAUGGACAUGCACGAUACCUCUCCAUGCUCUCCCUGGGGGAUGGAACUUAGCACAUCCCAGAGCAGCCCAGAGAGAGGUAUUGUGCCCUGCUGGCAGACUCCCCUCUCAGCCUGCAGCCCCUACCUCCUGUGCCAUGCCUGUCCACAGGCAGGCUUGUGGGGCUGCAGCCCCAGAAGGAAGCGCUGGGAUCAGCUGAGCACCGGCUGAAGGCAGGUUCCUUCCCUGACUGUAGCCCCACAAACCUGCCUACAGUCAGUGCUCGACAGGUGCGCUGCCUCGUGCUUCCUUCCCUGGCUGCAGCCUUUAAACCUGCCUACAGCCGGGGCAUUUCUUUGAAAAAUGUUGUUAGUAAGUGGCAUGCUGUUGCCAGCAUUUGAGUCUCAUUAACAUUAAAGUGAAUGGAAUGGGAUUAGUUCCCAGCAAAAUGUUGCUGUUAACGGGGAAGUGUUAAUAUCCGGAUCGCUAUUAAGUGGAAUCUACUGUAUCCUGCUAAGACAAACCAAAUUCUGUUUGCUUUUGCUUCUCGCAUAGGUGUAUCAUUUUUCUGCAAGAUGAACAGUGGAAAAAGUUAAUCUCAGGAUUCAGGACAGUCUCCUAAAACGGCCACUUAAUAGAGUGUUGUACUUUUACAAUGGCAUUAUCUU